rnacentral:rRNA from 1 species
GUGGGGAAUAUUGGACAAUGGGCGCAAGCCUGAUCCAGCCAUGCCGCGUGAGUGAUGAAGGCCUUAGGGUUGUAAAGCUCUUUCGCCGACGAAGAUAAUGACGGUAGUCGGAGAAGAAGCCCCGGCUAACUUCGUGCCAGCAGCCGCGGUAAUACGAAGGGGGCUAGCGUUGUUCGGAAUCACUGGGCGUAAAGCGCACGUAGGCGGAUUGUUAAGUCAGGGGUGAAAGCCUGGAGCUCAACUCCAGAACUGCCCUUGAUACUGGCAAUCUCGAGUCCGGAAGAGGUAAGUGGAACUCCGAGUGUAGAGGUGAAAUUCGUAGAUAUUCGGAAGAACACCAGUGGCGAAGGCGGCUUACUGGUCCGGUACUGACGCUGAGGUGCGAAAGCGUGGGGAGCAAACAGG